rnacentral:lncRNA from 1 species
AUCAGACCCGGGUUAGUUUUGAUUUGGCAGUGCACAAGUCGAAGGCUAGAAGUCUUCCAGCUUCUAAGCAUAGAUUCGACUCAGUUAAUUCCCUGCAUAGUUCAAGAUAGGCCCGUGGCGGGUUUUGGCAAAGAUGGCAUUGAAAGAAUUCGUGUCAAUGUGGAGAUUGUUAGAAUUGUGUGACCCAAAUUCUAAGAGAUUGCUUGCAAGUCAAGUUAAACAAAAAUAUAUUUUCUUUCUAGAAGAUUUAGUAUUUAUUAGUAUAAUAUAUUUAGCAUUUAUUAGUAUAGUUUAUUUGACUUACUAAUUUAGCCUAUAAAUAGGCUCCUUUACAAUCUUAGAAUUAAGAGACACCCAUUAGAUUAGAACUCAUAACACAUUCAGAGAAUUUUGUGUUUACAUUUGAGGGUUCUUUGUUUUUCGGGUUUUCGGGGUUUAGUUUUUAUCUCCAUCUUUUGUACUCUUCAUUCUUUUGCCAUUAUAGUAAAAUUAUCUUUGCCCGUG